rnacentral:rRNA from 1 species
AACGAACGCUAGCGGCAUGCCUAACACAUGCAAGUCGAACGAGACCUUCGGGUCUAGUGGCGCACGGGUGCGUAACGCGUGGGAACCUGCCCUUAGGUUCGGAAUAACUCCCCGAAAGGGGUGCUAAUACCGGAUAAUGUCUUCGGACCAAAGAUUUAUCGCCUUUGGAUGGGCCCGCGUUGGAUUAGCUAGUUGGUAGGGUAAAAGCCUACCAAGGCGACGAUCCAUAGCUGGUCUGAGAGGAUGAUCAGCCACACUGGGACUGAGACGCGGCCCAGACUCCUACGGGAAGCAGCAGUGGGGAAUAUUGGACAAUGGGCGAAAGCCUGAUCCAGCAAUGCCGCGUGAGUGAUGAAGGCCUUAGGGUUGUAAAGCUCUUUUACCCGGGAUGAUAAUGACAGUACCGGGAGAAUAAGCUCCGGCUAACUCCGUG